UGGCCCUCGUCUCUAAGAUGAGGGCCUGAGAGGUCCUGCAGAGGCCUCGGCCACUCCUUAGUUGAAGUCCGGCCAAGCCACUAAUUCCACACUCACACUGAAAACUGAAAAAUCACACUCAAAAUCCAGGGGAAAAAAGGAAUGCUCAAAGAAAGCAACCCUCAAGCUGGAGCGCUCUGUGCAUCUUGCUCUCGGCCCUGUCACUGGAUCAUGGUUCCUCCCUGGACAAUCGUGUGAUGGCAUGCAAGCACAGGUGAAAAAGGUGAAGCAAAGAAGAAAUCAGAAACCUAAGCAAGGUGUAUAAACAGGCUGGUGAGAGAAGAGGUAGGCAUUCUCUUUACAGACUAGGUUCCUCAGCGCCCACAUGCCAGAGCUACAGGCAGGGAGCCCUAAGCUCUUCCCCUCUUCUCCGCCUCAGGAGCACACCCAGAACCACAAAAUUCAUUAAAGGAAUAUCUCCAGCAACUUGAGCAACAGAAAUGACAGGCUUGUGUCUUAGGCUUUAAUAGUCCAUCAUGGGAAUUUUUAACAUAAGCAAUUAUAAAAUAAAAAUGUACUGACGCUAAAGAUACCUUUAUAAACCUGUCACUUUAAUGUUUCUUCAUGGCUUGU